rnacentral:rRNA from 1 species
AAAUCAGACCAGCCGGAGACCCUAAGAGAAUUUCGACCGAUCAGUCUAUGUUCAGUGCUCUACAAAAUAGUGGCUAAAUGCUUGGUGAACAGACUUCGGCCGAUUCUUGGCGAUAUUAUAUCCUUGAACCAAAGUGCCUUUGUCCCCGGGCGUAUGAUCACUGAUAAUGCUUUGGUAGCAUUUGAAUGCUUCCAUGCAAUUGAGCACUGCAAAAAGGAACAUGAAUCCUUUUGUGCAUAUAAGCUGGAUUUGUCUAAGGCAUAUGACAGGGUUGAUUGGGACUUUCUUAGAAGAACGAUGCAGAGUUUGGGUUUUGCUCCCCGAUGGGUGGAAUGGAUAAUGUCCUGUGUAACCUCGGUGAGCUACUCGGUAAAAUUCAACGGAACACUUCUUGAUUCGUUCGUCCCAUCUAGAGGUCUUCGCCAAGGUGAUCCACUAUCUCCCUUUUUGUUCUUGUUUGUCGCUGAUGGACUUUCUGCUCUCCUGCACCGUGAAGCAACCCAGGGUACUAUCACUCCGCUCAAAGUCUGCCGUCGAGCUCCGGGGAUUUCUCACUUGUUGUUUGCUGAUGACACCUUGUUGUUCUUCAAAGCUAAAAGUGAA